AGGCUGCAGUGGGGAAUUUUGGACAAUGGGCGAAAGCCUGAUCCAGCCAUGCCGCGUGCGGGAAGAAGGCCUUCGGGUUGUAAACCGCUUUAGUCUAGGAAAAAGGGGUGCGAGGUUAAUACCCUCGUGCUUUGAUGGUACUGGAAGAAUAAGCACCGGCUAACUACGUGCCAGCAGCCGCGGUAAUACGUAGGGUGCGAGCGUUAAUCGGAAUUACUGGGCGUAAAGCGUGCGCAGGCGGUCUUGUAAGACAGUCGUGAAAGCCCCGGGCUUAACCUGGGAACUGCGAUUGUGACUGCAAGGCUAGAGUGUGUCAGAGGGGGGUGGAAUUCCACGUGUAGCAGUGAAAUGCGUAGAGAUGUGGAGGAACACCGAUGGCGAAGGCAGCCCCCUGGGAUAACACUGACGCUCAUGCACGAAAGCGUGGGGAGCAAACAGGAUUAGAUACCCGGGUAGUC
rnacentral:rRNA from 1 species